rnacentral:rRNA from 1 species
GACGAACGCUGGCGGCGUGCUUAACACAUGCAAGUCGAACGGUGAAGCGCCUUCCUUUUUGGUGGGUGUGGAUGAGUGGCGAACGGGUGAGUAACACGUGAGUAACCUGCCCCCUUCUUCUGGAUAACCGCAUGAAAGUGUGGCUAAUACGGGAUAUUCUGGGUCUGUCGCAUGAUGGGUCUGGGAAAGAUAUUGUUUCGGUGGGGGAUGGGCUCGCGGCCUAUCAGCUUGUUGGUGGGGUGAUGGCCUACCAAGGCGGUGACGGGUAGCCGGCCUGAGAGGGUGGACGGUCACACUGGGACUGAGACACGGCCCAGACUCCUACGGGAGGCAGCAGUGGGGAAUAUUGCACAAUGGGCGCAAGCCUGAUGCAGCGACGCCGCGUGAGGGAUGGCGGCCUUCGGGUUGUGAACCCCUUUCGCCAGUGAAGCAGGCCUGCCUCGUUUGUGGGUGGGUUGACGGUAGCUGGAUAAGAAGCGCCGGCUAACUACGUG